rnacentral:rRNA from 1 species
AUAUCAAUAAGCGGAGGAAAAGAAACCAACAGGGAUUACCUCAGUAACGGCGAGUGAAGCGGUAACAGCUCAAAUUUGAAAUCUGGCCUCACGGUCCGAGUUGUAAUUUGUAGAGGAUGCUUCGAGCAUGGUCUGGCCUAAGUUCCUUGGAACAGGACGUCAUAGAGGGUGAGAAUCCCGUAUGCGGCCAGGUGCCUACGCUCAUGUGAAGCUCCUUCGACGAGUCGAGUUGUUUGGGAAUGCAGCUCAAAAUGGGUGGUAAAUUUCAUCUAAAGCUAAAUAUUGGCCAGAGACCGAUAGCGCACAAGUAGAGUGAUCGAAAGAUGAAAAGCACUUUGGAAAGAGAGUUAAACAGUACGUGAAAUUGUUGAAAGGGAAGCGCUUGCAACCAGACUUGCGCGCGGCCGAUCAUCCGGUGUUCUCACCGGUGCACUCUGCCGGGCUCAGGCCAGCAUCGGUUCUCGCGGGGGGAUAAAGGUCCUGGGAACGUAGCUCCUCCGGGAGUGUUAUAGCCCAGGGCGUCAUGCCCUCGCGGGGACCGAGGUUCGCGCAUCUGCAAGGAUGCUGGCGUAAUGGUCAUCAGCGA